rnacentral:rRNA from 1 species
GAAGGGGGCUAGCGUUGCUCGGAAUCACUGGGCGUAAAGGGUGCGUAGGCGGGGUUUUAAGUCAGGGGGGAAAUCCUGGAGCUCAACUCCAGAACUGCCUUUGAUACUGAAGAUCUUGAGUUCGGGAGAGGUGAGUGGAACUGCGAGUGUAGAGGUGAAAUUCGUAGAUAUUCGCAAGAACACCAGUGGCGAAGGCGGCUCACUGGCCCGAUACUGACGCUGAGGCACGAAAGCGUGGGGAGCAAACAGG